GCUCCAUGAUUCAGCGGCGGACGGGUGAGUAAUGCCUAGGAAUCUGCCUGGUAGUGGGGGAUAACGUUUCGAAAGGAACGCUAAUACCGCAUACGUCCUACGGGAGAAAGUGGGGGAUCUUCGGACCUCACGCUAUCAGAUGAGCCUAGGUCGGAUUAGCUAGUUGGUGGGGUAAUGGCCCACCAAGGCGACGAUCCGUAACUGGUCUGAGAGGAUGAUCAGUCACACUGGAACUGAGACACGGUCCAGACUCCUACGGGAGGCAGCAGUGGGGAAUAUUGGACAAUGGGCGAAAGCCUGAUCCAGCCAUGCCGCGUGUGUGAAGAAGGUCUUCGGAUUGUAAAGCACUUUAAGUUGGGAGGAAGGGCAGUAAGUUAAUACCUUGCUGUUUUGACGUUACCAACAGAAUAAGCACCGGCUAACUUCGUGCCAGCAGCCGCGGUAAUACGAAGGGUGCAAGCGUUAAUCGGAAUUACUGGGCGUAAAGCGCGCGUAGGUGGUUCAGCAAGUUGGAUGUGAAAGCCCCGGGCUCAACCUGGGAAUUGCAUCCAAAACUACUGAGCUAGAGUACGGUAGAGGGUGGUGGAAUUUCCUGUGUAGCGGUGAAAUGCGUAGAUAUAGGAAGGAACACCAGUGGCGAAGGCGACCACCUGGACUGAUACUGACACUGAGGUGCGAAAGCGUGGGGAGCAAACAGGAUUAGAUACCCUGGUAGUCCACGCCGUAAACGAUGUCGACUAGCCGUUGGGAUCCUUGAGAUCUUAGUGGCGCAGCUAACGCGAUAAGUCGACCGCCUGGGGAGUACGGCCGCAAGGUUAAAACUCAAAUGAA
rnacentral:rRNA from 1 species